rnacentral:rRNA from 1 species
GUGCUUAUAGCGCAAUGGAACCACUCCGAUCCAUCUCGAACUCGGUUGUGAAACGUUGCAGCGGCAAAGAUACUUGAGAAGGAGUUCUCUGGGAAACUAGCACAGUGCCAAGAUU